rnacentral:rRNA from 1 species
GGGUCAGUAGGUUGGUCGUGCCACCGGUACGUACUGGUCUCACUGAUUCCUCCUUCCUGAAGAAUCGUAAUGCCAUUAAUUUGGUGUUGCGGGGAAACAGGACUGUUACUUUGAAAAAAUUAGAGUGUUUAAGGCAAGCUAACGCUUGAAUACAUUAGCAUGGAAUAAUGAAAUAGGACGAUCGAUCCUAUUUUGUUGGUUUCUGGGAUUGACGUA